AAGUCGUAACAAGGUUUCCGUAGGUGAACCUGCGGAAGGAUCAUUACAGAGUUCAUGCCCCUCGGGGUAGAUCUCCCACCCGUGUGUAUCAUUAUCGGCUGUUGCUUUGGCGGGCCGCGUGCCUCGCACGCCUGGACCUCGGUCCGGCGCGCCCGCCAGAGGACCCCCCAAACUCUGAAUGUUAGUGUCGUCUGAGUACUAUUAAAUAGUUAAAACUUUCAACAACGGAUCUCUUGGUUCUG
rnacentral:misc_RNA from 1 species